rnacentral:rRNA from 1 species
AUUGAACGCUGGCGGCAGGCCUAACACAUGCAAGUCGAACGAGUGGCGGACGGGUGAGUAAUGUCUGGGAAACGGCCCGCUGGAGGGGGAAACCUACUGGAAACGGUAGCUAAUACCGCAUACCAUCGGAGGGGCCCAGAGGGGAUUAGCUGGUGGGGGGGGUACCGGCUCACCUGGGGGACGAUCCCUAGCUGGUCUGAGAGGAUGACCAGCCACACUGGAACUGAGACACGGUCCAGACUCCUACGUGAGGCAGCAGUGGGGAAUAUUGCACAAUGGGCGCAAGCCUGAUACAGCCAUGCCGCGUGUAUGAAGAAGGCCUUCGGGUUGUAAAGUACUUUCAGCGAGGAGGCGUUACUCGCAGAAGAAGCACCGGCUAACUCCGUGCCAGCAGCCGCGGUAAUAC